GGCGGGGUGCCGGAGUGGCCUAACGGAUCGGUCUUGAAAACCGCAGCCCGGCAGCAGUGCCAGGGCCCCGGGUUCGAAUCCCGGUCCCGCCG
rnacentral:tRNA from 1 species